GAGUUUGAUCGUGGCUCAGAUUGAACGCUGGCGGCAGGCCUAACACAUGCAAGUCGAGCGGAUGAAGGGAGCUUGCUCCUGGAUUCAGCGGCGGACGGGUGAGUAAUGCCUAGGAAUCUGCCUGGGUAGUGGGGGAUAACGUCCGGAAACGGGCGCUAAUACCGCAUACGUCCUGAGGGAGAAAGUGGGGGAUCUUCGGACCUCACGCUAUCAGAUGAGCCUAGGUCGGAUUAGCUAGUUGGUGGGGUAAAGGCCUACCAAGGCGACGAUCCGUAACUGGUCUGAGAGGAUGAUCAGUCACACUGGAACUGAGACACGGUCCAGACUCCUACGGGAGGCAGCAGUGGGGAAUAUUGGACAAUGGGCGAAAGCCUGAUCCAGCCAUGCCGCGUGUGUGAAGAAGGUCUUCGGAUUGUAAAGCACUUUAAGUUGGGAGGAAGGGCAGUAAGUUAAUACCUUGCUGUUUUGACGUUACCAACAGAAUAAGCACCGGCUAACUUCGUGCCAGCCGCCGCAGU
rnacentral:rRNA from 1 species